GGGUGAACUAGACCACCUGAGCCGCAUCUUGGCUACUGGGCAGCUGGUUUUUGUCCAGUUAAUAACAGCCGAUCCUUUUCCUCCUCCCAGCCUAUUAGAAGAAGAGGCUGCGAUCUCUGUUGACUGGAGCAGCUGGGAGCUCACCAAUGGCCAGGAGCUACUAUUCCCGUGCAGCGGGCCUGAUUCUCCACAGUACGUCCCCUUGCUGGGCCAACGUACCUGAGUGCAAAGCGCGCGUGGAACGCUCUUGGGUUCGAUGCCAGCCUUACAGCCCCAGGUCCAGGUCUGGACUAGCUGUGCUCUCCUGCUCCCUGUGCUCCUGGAGGUUCAUUCCUUACCUUGUCUCCUGGGAGAUGAGGCUGCUCUAAGGCAUCCAUGAGCCUCCUCUGUACUCCUGCUCCAUUCCCUACGGGCUGUCACUGAGACGUGUCAUUGUCACCAUUACGGAGUGCCAGGGAGCCUCCAGUCCUGAGACUCCACUGCAGCUCCUCCACGGCCAGUCAAUCUGAAGCCCGGGAUAACACUGAAAGGUGCAGCACUGCUGCUAGUGGUUUUGCAGAGAUGGCUCCUGCCUGGGUGAGGAACAGCUGACUUCCUCCUGUCUCUAGUUGGCUCCCGGCAACUGUUGGGGCUGACAACAGGAAGCUGAGUCAGCAGAUCAGCUGCAAUUGGUGCUUGGUUUUUAUUUUAUUCUCCCAGCAGCCAAAAGAAGCUGUGGUUUUCUUGACACUUUGUUCUGGGGGUGCAGUGGUGUCUAUGGUGAAGGCCUGAUGGGGACAGGAGGAGAAGCGAAUACUUUAAAUCAGAGAUGUCCAUCGGUGCUUUCCCUUGUUCCACACUCGUGCGAAAAGGUGAGAUUGUGCUGAGGGAGUGGCACCUUCGGGGACUAGCUCCCCUCACUGGCUAGGCCCCAGUUCCCUCGCACGGUAUCUGGAGGAGUUGGGCUAGGACAUGGCACCUACAGUGACUGAAGGAGCAUCUUUAGACUCAGACUGUAAGGUCAGAAGGGACCAUUGUGAUCAUCUAGUCCAGUGGCUCUCAACCUUCCCAGGCUGUUGUGCCCCCUUCAGGAGUCAGAUCUAUCUUGCGUACCCCCAAGUUGCACCUCACUCAAAAACUACCUGCGUACAAAAUCAGACCUAAAAAUACAAAGGUGUCACAGCACACUAUUACUGAAAGAUUGCUGCUUUCUCGCUUUUACCUUAUAAUUAUAGAAUACAUCAGUUGGGAUAUAAAUCUUGUGCUUACAUUCAGUGUGUAGCAUAGAGAAGUACACAAGAGGUAAUUGUCUGUAUGAAAUGUUAGUUUGUAUGACUUCCCUAGUGCUUUUGUGUCACCUGUUGUACAAGUAGGCAAAUAGCUAGGUGAGCUGAUGUCCCCCUGGCAGAGCUCUGCAUACCCCCAGGGGUACAUGUGCCCCUCAUUGAGAACCACUGCCUGAGUCUGACCUCCUGCAUGUUCACGCACUUACCUAAAGGAGCCACUAAGGCUAACACCGACAGACAGCACCUCUCUUGUCUCCUGGUGUUGAGCUGCCUCAGAGGGAGCCGAGACCUUGCCAGACUUGGCUGCUGUACUAGACUCCCUCUCUGUGCUCUCCUGGACACCUUGGGUAUGUCUACAAGCAAUGCCUGGAAGGGGUUGAUGUAGGUUCAGAAGGGGGCCAAUUAACCAAACAGGCCGACUGUGAGGCAGGUGAGUGAACACUCCCCGUCUGAGGGAGGGAGCCUGGCUGGUUUAGGAACAGCUGGGCUGGAUUUAUAAAGACGGGAAGCUGCUAGCAGAAGGGGCUGCUGGGAAAGUCUGCAGUCACUUCCAGGGAAGUGUAUCUAGGCUGGCAAAUCAAGAGCAGGGGGGAAGGUAGGGAAGGGCUUAGGGAAAGACAGUGAGGUGUGGAAGGGAACAGACCUUGGAUGCUGGCCAGAGGGUCCCUGAGCAGAACCUGGAGUAGAGGGGGACCUGGGCUCCCCUGCCAGCCACUGAGGAGUAGCACCACGAAGCACUGACUGGUCCUUGCUACGCAGGCUGUGGAGCAGCACAUAAUGGCUCUGAGCUUGGGUGUCAGGAAGGAAUUGCACUAGUGGAAACAGUGCUUUCAGAGAGACUGAAGGUGUCUCAUAGGAGUGCGCCGCCUGAUUGAUACAGGCCCUGCGGCUCUGUCAAUGAUGAGGAUUCCC